rnacentral:rRNA from 1 species
CCUACGGGUGGCUGCAGUUAGGAAUCUUCGGCAAUGGGGGAAACCCUGACCGAGCGACACUGCGUGGAGGAUGAAGGUUUUCGGAUCGUAAACUCCUGAACGAGGGACGAAAAAUGACGGUACCUCGCUAAUAGCACCGGCUAACUCCGUGCCAGCAGCCGCGGUAAUACGGAGGGUGCGAGCGUUAUCCGGAAUCACUGGGCGUAAAGGGCGCGUAGGCGGUUUGUUAAGUCCGAUGUUAAAGCGUGAGGCUCAACCUCAUCACGGCAUUGGAU